UAAACAAUUAUAUCUUUAAUUAAAAUCAAAUUUCUAACACAACAACAUGUUUAAAUUACACACUGAAAGUUUUACAGCACAGUGUAAAUUAACAUAACUCUACUUUACAGUAAAAAAAUCAAAUAUUUUACAACAGAAACUAAACAUUGGGUUUUGAAUAAUGAUAAAUUGUGUAUUUAUGACAAAAGUACACAUCAUUGUUCAAUAUUUAGAAGAGUUGUUCAACAAAUGCUAAUCAAAUUCCAAGUGCUCCUGCUACAUUUAUGAGGCUUUUACAUAAAAAAUGUAUAUUCAAAAUAAAAAUACUUCCCAUAUUUGGAUAGUACUUCACAUUUUAAGUGCAAGGAAUAUACUUUUAGCUGAAAUAAGUCAAUUUUCCUAUUUUUUAAAAAUAUGUUUUGAAAUAUCAACCAUAUAUUUCAUCAAAUAUUUGAAAUAAACUUACUAGCUAAAAUAUCAAACAACUUAGUGCAGUUCCCCUCAGUUUCACACAACAUACAUCAAAAGAUUAAAUUACUAUCAACAAGUUUAAAAUGUAAUGAAUGUUAAUUUAAAAUUAAAAUAAUCAUAGCAAUAAGUCCAAGCAUAGCCUCUCAUAGUAUAGAAGAUAAAAAAUAUCAUCAAUAUCAAACUUCAGGCAUCAUAAAUUUGUUUAAUGGAAUGCAAAAUUUGUUAAUAAAAACCCUUGAUUGUAUACGAACAGAUGGGGCAUUGUCAUGUAAUUAGUUGAAUCCAAAACAGCAAUCAGCAGCACUGCCAUCAGCAACACUAGUAAACCUGUCUGGUGGCGUGAAUUUGUCUGUCGUGGGGAUAUAAAACAUUUCUUUUUAUGUGAUUGUCUGAAGGACAAGAAUGAAAUAAGGUAUACAUUUGAAAUUUACAUGGAAUCCCAGUGUGUAUAUUGAUACGUAUAUUGUUUCAAGAUACGUAUCAAUACAUUACAUUCUUGAUUAUUAAAGAAAACCAAGGAUCAUAUUAAUGAACUCGAGGCAUUAUCAAGAGGAAUUUAAACAACUUUACUGCCUUCUUUACAAGACGUACAGUAUUCACAAAACACUGCAACGUGAACGUCAAAUUUGAGCAGGUAUUAUGGCCGGUGAAUAACACAGAGUUGACAGAGCAGCGUGCUGGUUGAAGUGCGAUGUUGACUGGGACUGGGAAAGGGACCUGUGCAAUCGAUGAGGGGAGCGACAUCGCUGUCACGCAGUUCAAAUUACAUAGUAAGUAUGAUGUCAGUAAUUGACGGUGACACUCCUCUUGGUUGAGCACCAAAACUCGCACCGGCGCACUGGCCAAAGUCGGCAUUUGAUUGCUCCAUCUAUUUGUAAUACAUAACCAAGGAUAAACUGAGAAAACUUCCAGAAAAUAAAAAUUCUACAUUACUACUGAGAGAAUGUACAUAAGAAACCAGCUUAUUGUACUUUUUUGGAAGAGGCAACAAAUUAAGAUCCAAACCCAAAGCUCUAGUUACCCCAUCUCCCUAUGAUUUUAAACACAUUAUCAAAUUACUCUUUCUCCGCCCAAGAAAACUUACUGAAAACAUGCUCAGUAACAGUUCAAUACAUGAAAGACUAACGUAAUUUCAAACAAAAAUGUAUAACAUAAGUACACACUGGAAAAAUGAUGUUCUUUUAGCACAUAUUCCAGCACUUGUUACAUAGCAUGCAACAUCCCAUUUAAAAUACACUGUCACUUCAAUAUUUUCAAAUCGUUUACAGAUGAAAACUAAUCAUUCAGAAGAGAAAUUGGAAUAUUUUAACUUAAAAACUAUGAAACAGUACAAUUUACUAAGCUAUAAUAAAACGUAUAUACAUAUAUAUUUAUACAGGGCCAUAUAAACCACCCAUAUCAAAUGUCAGUGAAUAGUUUAAUUAAUUGACCUAGAGGUUUGGUUUGAAAGUUUCCUUAAGAAUAUUCUUAAAACUAAGCCCAGAGGUUUGGUUUGAAAGUUUCCUUAAGAAUAUUCUUAAAACUAAGCAGACUUAGGUUGGAUGUUUGAAUAUUUAAAACAUAAAAAUAGUGAGAUCUUGCAGUAUAUUAUUUUAAGAUUCUAUGUACUGAAAUGAAUUUGAGGAAAGAACAAAUUUUAUUAAAGAUAAUUAAAUUUGUUCUUUCUCAAAUCCUUUUUGGUACAAGUAAUCUUAUUGUUUUAUACCUUUUAACAAUGAAUACAACAAUCAUGUCAGUAGCGCUGCUUUAUACCUCUUAUUUUUUUAAAUUUUUGAUCUUGUAACAAUUUUACUUUGCAUAUAAAAUAUUACAAAAUAAUACAAAAUAAAAAAAAACAAUAUAAAAAUUAAUUCCACAACAAUAUUAGUAUGAUAAUAAUAUUUCAAAAGAAGGCAGAACAUUUUUUUUAAAUUUAGUUUUACGGAGAUAAAGCAUGAUACGUGAAUAGCAAAGUCAUAGUGAUCUCCUUCUUAGCGGAAACAUUUAAAACGAAAACAAACUACAUGGUUCAUUCACAAAAAUCUGCAACCCAGUGUCAUUAAUUAUUGUUUAAAAUUAUUUUUAUUAAAAACAUUUCUAUCGUUUUAAGCUUUGUUUUACAUGUAGUUUUAAAUUUUACAGUUAGUUAGUUAGUUAUUAUUAGUAACUUAAAAUGGGUUUUAAGAGUUAACAUGGUUAGGAAACAGUAUAUAGAAAUUCUAUAUACUAAUUCUAACUGUAUGUCUAGGUCGAUUAGUUAACUACUAGACAUUAAAAAUGGGCAGUCUUUUACACUGUAUAUAGUGAGUAUACUGUACAUAGAUGUAUCUUAUACAUAUAAAUACAUUUUAUUUGAAUUGAAUGCAUUUUUAACGUUGAUGUUACACAUUUACAUUGUAUAUAUCAAUAACAUUUUAUUUGAUUUAAAUGUAUUUAUAAACGCUGAUGUUACAAAUUACCUCAAAACAUUGUCAGUGGUAUUGUUUUAUGCCUCUUAACAAACAAUACAACAAUAACGUCAGUUCUAAUGAUUUAUGUCUCUUAUUUAAAAACAAUUUGAUCUUUUCACAAUUUUACUUUGUGACUUUUACCAUAUACACUAUAAAAAUUGAUUUUACAACAAUAACUUCAGUGGUAAUGGUUUAUUCAUCUUACUUUGUAAGAAAAUUUUCAUGCAUUUUCAACAUUUAUAUCGAUCUUUGUAAGAUUAUUUUAUAGAGCAAAAAUUGCCUGUUUUUAUUUAGUAUAGUUAUUAUUGUGCUAUGUACUCAAUUUUAAUUACUAUACAGAAUGCGGCAUGCCACUGUUGGCUCUAGAACUGGCAAGCAUGGACUGUACUUGGAAACCUUACCUUACACUAGGAUAAAAACAAGACAACUCUUGAAUGUCACAAUUAAAAUUUGCAUGUACUAGUUUCAAUUAUUUCAGAUUUAUUCACUACUGGGGUCGAUUCUGCAAAUCAUGCAACCGUUUAUAAACAGUUCAAAUUAUGGUACACAACUAUCAUGCAAUUGUUUAUAAACAGUUCAAAUCUUGGUACACAACUAUCAUGCAACCGUUUAUAAACAGUUCAAAUCUUGGUACUCAACUAUCAUGCAACCGUUUAUAAACAGUUCAAAUCUUGGUACACAACUAUCAUGCAACCGUUUAUAAACAGUUCAAAUCUUGGUACUCAACUAUCAUGCAACCGUUUAUAAACAGUUCAAAUCUUGGUACUCAACUAUCAUGCAAUUGUUUAUAAACAGUUCAAAUCUUGGUACACAACUAUCAUGCAAUUGUUUAUAAACAGUUCAAAUCUUGGUACACAACUAUCAUGCAACCGUUUAUAAACAGUUCAAAUCUUGGUACACAACUAUCAUGCAACCGUUUAUAAACAGUUCAAAUCUUGGUACACAACUAUCAUGCAACCGUUUAUAAACAGUUCAAAUCUUGGUACACAACUAUCAUGCAAUUGUUUAUAAACAGUUCAAAUCUUGGUACACAACUAUCAUGCAAUUGUUUAUAAACAGUUCAAAUCUUGGUAAUCAUCUAUUUUCGCUAUUGAUGUUUAUACUGAUAUGACCGGGUAUUAGAAAUGACUUCAAAACACCGGAAGUAAAAAGAAAUGAGUGUCAUAUUUUUCAUUUAAAAUGUAAAAUAGAUUUACAUACAAUUCAGUUUAAACAAUACGUAAUGUUCUAAUAAGUAGCAUUAAACGAUUAGUAAUGAAAACGAUUUACACACAGCCAAAGACAUUAGUCAGUAAAGCCUUGCCAGUUCUAAUGUUAAUAUUAACUUAGUUAAAUUUAU